rnacentral:rRNA from 1 species
GAUUGAACGCUGGCGGCAGGCCUAACACAUGCAAGUCGAACGGUAGCACAGAGAGCUUGCUCUCGGGUGACGAGUGGCGGACGGGUGAGUAAUGUCUGGGAAACUGCCCGAUGGAGGGGGAUAACUACUGGAAACGGUAGCUAAUACCGCAUAAUGUCGCAAGACCAAAGAGGGGGACCUUCGGGCCUCUUGCCAUCGGAUGUGCCCAGAUGGGAUUAGCUAGUUGGUGAGGUAAUGGCUCACCAAGGCGACGAUCCCUAGCUGGUCUGAGAGGAUGACCAGCCACACUGGAACUGAGACACGGUCCAGACUCCUACGGGAGGCAGCAGUGGGGAAUAUUGCACAAUGGGCGCAAGCCUGAUGCAGCCAUGCCGCGUGUGUGAAGAAGGCCUUCGGGUUGUAAAGCACUUUCAGCGGGGAGGAAGGCAAUACGGUUAAUAACCGUGUUGAUUGACGUUACCCGCAGAAGAAGCACCGGCUAACUCCGUG